GCCACCACCCCUCCUGGCUCCCCUGGCUGGCUCCGGAGGGCUGGCGCUGGGGCUGGCACGCUUACCAGCCAACCUGGGAGCUUUGGGCUCUUCUGUGGCUGCUACCUGUCCGCCCUGGGCGCUUGUGGGGACUGAGAUCUCAGGUCAGAGGGCGGCACGCGGACACUCCCCCCACAUUCGGAAACAGAGGCGAGUGCCCAUGGAGACACGCACCGACAGGCACACUUGCACCCCGACAGACAUGCUCGGGCUUAUACGGAACCACAACCAUAGACUGAGACACACCCGUGCAGCGCACCGACAAACACCCUGGCGAGCUCCGAAGCCGACAGGCGCAAAGUCACCCUGCCCAACACAGAGACAAACACAGAAGCACGGAGAAGCAGAAAGGCAUGGGCACACACAGAAGUAAACAACACACGAGCGCUCACUUGGAGGCGAGCAGAGCGCCCCAUCCAGCUCUCCUGAAUUACCUGCUCUGGGGGAAGACCUCCACCAUGUACACGACCCAGAGACAGCCAGGCAAUGAGGAAGCCCAAACUUGGAGGAGCCCCAAGGGAAGCGAUGCCCCCAGUCACUCCCGCGUAGCCCUGGCCUUAAGGUGACUCCAGCCCCAGCCGCCAUCUGGCUGUAAACGCAUUAACAGCUCCAAGAAAAACCCACCCAGUUGAACCCCUUCCACAAUCCAGAGACAAAAAUAAAAUGGUUCUUGCUGAAA